UCCCGACGCCAUGUCACUAUAGGCAAAGGGCCAAGGCGUGGAUAGGGGGAGUUGCUCAGCCUCACAUCCGGGGUGGUGGGCGGUACCCUCGCUGUGCAUUGGCGGACAGACAGAGCCUGUGUAGGGGAGACUCCCACAUGUCAGGGAAUUAAGUUAUUUCUGUAGUGAUGGGUGGGAAGGGGAACCCCCUUUUCCCAAGUGGGGAGAUUGUUACUCUGGGGGAGGCGCUCCCCAUUUGCCAUCUGCUGGAGGGCUCUCUGCUGGGAAGGGCUUUGCUUUGUGAUUUUCCGUGAGACAUAGCUUGAAAAAUUCGCUGGAGGAGGAAGUGCCGGGCCAGGGCUGCUAACCGCUGCAGAAUUUCAGCUGUCCUUUAAAAAGGAUUUCUAGCCCUGAUAGCAGCAGGGAAAACCUUCCAAACGUGAACGAAGUGCAAUCCAAUUAUUAGUCAUUUGCACUGCAGUGGUGCCUAGUGGGCCCAUCAAGGAUCAGGUCGCCAUUGUGCUAGGCACUAUCUGCUUCAGAGCGCAUACAAACCUAGUUUCCCGAUAAGACACAAUGGUAGAUGAAAGAGAUGCAGAGUAGGCCACUCUCAAUUUCAUCACACCUCUCACAACAUUGGGUGGUUUUGUUAAAGUCCCAGCUCCAGUAAUCAUGUGACUGUGAGACAAGCAGCUUUCAUUUUAAAAAGCCCUCAUGGUUGUGGAGAAAAGUUUGAAAAAGGGAUCUGAGUGUAACCCCCCACCCCAAAAAAAGUCAAAAACCAAAAGGCAAAUAACAAGAACCCAAAAUGGUAGGGUUUUUUUUUUAAAUAAAAUCUCAUGAUUUUUAAGCCACUUGUGAUUUUUGAACAGUUGGGUUUGGCAGUAUUGAGGCAAAUGUGAGGGAAGGAAAAGGUAACAGUCAAAAAGUGCUUUUCUGCAUAAUGAGCAGUAGUCUCAGCUCAUUAUCUGCUUACCCCUUGCAGAUAGGGUUGUCAGGUGUCAGGCAUGUCCAGCUCCUAGACACCAUGGCUCCAUGCACUGCCCCCGCCCUGAGCACCAGCUCUACAGCUCCCAUUGGCCGGGAACUGUGGCCAAUGGGAGCUGCAGGGACAGUGCAUGCAGGCAGCAUGUAGAGUCCCCUGGCCCCUCGACCUAGGAGCCGGACAUAGCAGCCGUGUGAAGCCAGGGCAGACGGGGAGCCUGCCUUAGUCCUGCUGCGCUGCAGACCGGGAGCCACCUGAGGUGAGGAAAGGGAAAAAUUCAAGAGUUCUCUUUCAAUUCCACCCACUGGGAUCCAGCAGUAUUUAUCAGUUCAAGACCUGCAGAAACCCAUUUAUUUAGAAGCAAAAAGACUCAUUUUGGAUUCAUUUUCAGGCAAUUUGGAAAGGUCGCCCUCUGGUGGCAUAUGAUUUCUAUAUCAUUUUCCCUUUUCGCACAUACCUGGUAUUGUUGUCUUUGCAGAAGACACUGGAGAGUCUUUGGGAGCUUGAGUGAUGAAGAUUACCACCAUGUUUGUGGAGGGUAAAUGCCAGCUGCUGUUAACCAGGUCAUAGUUAGGCUCU